UACAGAGGUCUCAAGCGUUGUUCGGAUUCAUUGGGCGUAAAGGGUGCGUAGGCGGCGCGGUAAGUCGGGUGUGAAAUCUUGGAGCUUAACUCCGAAACUGCAUUCGAUACUGCCGUGCUUGAGGACUGGAGAGGAGACUGGAAUUUACGGUGUAGCGGUGAAAUGCGUAGAUAUCGUAAGGAAGACCAGUGGCGAAGGCGGGUCCCUGGACAGUUCCUGACGCUGAGGCACGAAGGUCAGGGGAGCAAACGGG
rnacentral:rRNA from 1 species